CCCCCCCCCCUCCUUUAACUGAAGCAGCAGCCGACACUCACCCGCCGCUCCCUCGGCCGGCGUAGGAGGAAGACAGGGAGGAAGAAGCGAGUUUUAGCGCGUCGGCAAGGUGCAUGCGAGAGCAGCGAGUCAGUCUCUCUGUGUCAGUCACCAGAAGCACAUCCGGGCCUUCGGGCGCUGCUCACAUGAGUCUCUCCUCUCCACGUCCAAACACCCGAAAGGGUGUUUGGUUUAGGCGUGAGCCUUCAGAGCAGCACUGUCCUACCCCCGACAUGUUGGGCUAGGUCACGUCGUUUUGCCUGCCUGCCGCCAUGCCUGCCUCCGCGGUCACGAUGUUGAUCAUCAGCACCAAGAGCAAGCUAGUCGCACUUGCGCCUCCUCGCGCUCCGCCCUGGACGUGGUCGUGUCGGUGUGGUGUCAACUGACUGAGUGUGUGUGUAUGUGUGUGAGAAUGAAUUCUGAUCUAUUUCCUUGCCUAGACUCAGUUCUAGUUUUCAUUGUUUAAUUGUGUACCUUGCAGUUUCUUUUCCUAAAUUAUACCCCGUCUGUAUGAGGUUACUUUCAGGAGCUUGAUUGUUGUUUUGUUAAUGCUGUGAGACGUUAAUUGUUUAACCUCAGCAAAUACGUAACUCUGCUUGUAUAGAGAUGUGCAACUAAAGCUUGGCUAUUAUGUACUGUCCCCGUUUAUCUCUGAGAUGCACUUAGUGAUUUGUUAUUGUUAUAACUAAAGAUUACGUUGCUUCGCUUGUAUGAAGGUUGUUGUGCUAUAACUCUGUAAACGUUCAACAUAGGUUUGUCGCAGUUGCGCAUUUAUGCCUGUUGGUUGGUGGCUUGUACUAGUCUUUGUCCUGUUAGGAAUUUAUUGUUGUACUGCAAGGUUAAAUUGUACUUAUUGUCACAUUGUUUAAAAUGUUUUGUUUUGUUAAUUAAUAAUAAAACUAUUAUUCUGCACUGUA